AAAGAUGUAUUAAAUAGUCCCUAUACUACUAAAUUAUAAGUCGGAGACUAUUUAAAAAUGACAAAUUCUUUACAAUUUGGCAACACCCAUCAAUCGCCGGGUCGUCUGUUCAUUCUUUAUUCUCUCGUAGUAGAGCCAUAGUAGAGUAAAGCACGUGUCGUAAAACCUUGUUGUCACAGUUUCUCCAUGGCUAUUUUAUUGUUUUUAUUGGAUGUUUUGAUUUUGUAUUUUUUGGAUUCGAUUUUCUUAGUGUGUAGUGUCGGUUUAGUGUUUAUUUUGAUUACUUUUUAUUUAAAAACUAUAAAACAUGGUUCGUCAGUGCCAAAUUUGUAAGAAAUUGGACUAUUUAAGUCCUGGAACAACAUUCCACAGAUUAUGCUGCCAAAGUUUCCUGAAUACAAUUCCGACCACUCUGUAUAUCAAGAUAUCCCCCAUUACGUACUAGUUUUUCUUAAUAAUUUUCUAUACAUUUUCCAACGCCAAGAUGUACCAAGCGCAUACAAAUACAUCAAGCUUCAAACAAGCUUGCACGUUGACAGUAAUACCUACAGUAAUAUUGUAUUAUAUUAAUGUAAUAUUUUUGAACCAAUGUUCAAUAUUACUGUAGUAAUACUGUUUAUACUCAUGCCUUUUAUAUUUGUUUGAAUUUGGUGCAUAUUUCCAUUGAAUAAAGUAUAGUCACCAUUACCAUUAUUAUACUUACUCUAUAAUAAAGACAGUAACGAGUUAAA
rnacentral:lncRNA from 1 species